UACGGAGGAUGCGAGCGUUAUCCGGAUUUAUUGGGUUUAAAGGGUGCGCAGGCGGAAUAUUAAGUCGGCGGUGAAAGUUUGCAGCUUAACUGUAAAAUUGCCGUUGAUACUGGUAUUCUUGAGUGUAUAUGAAGUAGGCGGAAUUUGUAGUGUAGCGGUGAAAUGCAUAGAUAUUACAAGGAACUCCGAUUGCGAAGGCAGCUUACUAAAUUACAACUGACGCUUAGGCACGAAGGCGUGGGUAUCAAACAGGAUUAGAUACCCUGGUAGU
rnacentral:rRNA from 1 species